AUUGAACGCUGGCGGCAUGAUUUACACAUGCAAGUCGAACGGUAACAGGCCGCAAGGUGCUGACGAGUGGCGCACGGGUGAGUAAUGCAUCGGAACGUGCCCAGUCGUGGGGGAUAACUACUCGAAAGAGUAGCUAAUACCGCAUACGAUCUAUGGAUGAAAGCGGGGGACCGUAAGGCCUCGCGCGAUUGGAGCGGCCGAUGUCAGAUUAGGUAGUUGGUGGGGUAAAGGCUCACCAAGCCAACGAUCUGUAGCUGGUCUGAGAGGACGACCAGCCACACUGGGACUGAGACACGGUCCAGACUCCUACGGGAGGCAGCAGUGGGGAAUUUUGGACAAUGGGCGCAAGCCUGAUCCAGCAAUGCUGCGUGCAGGAAGAAGGCCUUCGGGUUGUAAACUGCUUUUGUACGGAACGAAACGGCUCUGGUUAAUACCCGGGGCUAAUGACGGUACCGUAAGAAUAAGCACCGGCUAACUACGUG
rnacentral:rRNA from 1 species